rnacentral:rRNA from 1 species
UACGUAGGGUGCAAGCGUUACUCGGAAUUACUGGGCGUAAAGCGUGCGCAGGCGGUGAUGUAAGACAGAUGUGAAAUCCCCGGGCUCAACUUGGGAACUGCAUUUGUGACUGCAUCGCUGGAGUGCGGCAGAGGGGGAUGGAAUUCCGCGUGUAGCAGUGAAAUGCGUGGAUAUGCGGAGGAACACCGAUGGCGAAGGCAAUCCCCUGGGCCUGCACUGACGCUCAUGCACGAAAGCGUGGGGAGCAAACAGG